rnacentral:lncRNA from 1 species
AGGGAAGUUAUGCAGAUGUUGUUUUUUUUCACAUAUAGAAUAUAAAUUUAAAAGUACCUUAAGAGAAAAAUGUUUAUUUAAACAUAAGAUAAGCAGUAAUUUACGUGCUGUGCAAGACUCAGGGAGAAUAACAUAUGACGGAGGUGGAAGAGAUGAAGAAUAUAAUAAGGACAAUGUUAUUGAAAAGAGAGAAGAAGAGAUUGAAAAUAAAAGUGAUUAUAUUGAAAAGUUAAAAAACAGAGAAGAAAAGAAAAAAACGAAACGAAAAAAAACAGGUAUAGCAUUUUCUGGAGAAACAUGCUCCUGUUUUUUGCUACAUUCUUUUGUAAAAUAUUUAAAAAAUAGUAACAUGAAAAAUGAUGAUUUGUUUUUAUCAAAUGAGCAUGCUAUAUUCAGUGAUAUAAUUUUUGUUGAUAUUAAUGAGGAUAAGAAUUACAUUUUAAAUGUAAUAAAUUUGGUUUCGGACAUAUUUAGAUCUAUAAAAGAGGAAACUGAUGAUAUAUGUUUAAAAAUAGAUCAAGGCAAUACAAAUAAAGAACAAGUAAAAAAAAAAGAUGAAGACAUAAAACAAGUGGAUUAUAACUUUAGUAGUGCUAAUAUCGCUUAUCCAUUGUCCAUUGAUAAUAAAGAUGAUAUUAUAUUUUGUAAUGGUGUGUACAAAAAAAAAAUAAACAAAAUAAAUUUAGUUGUGUUAAAAAGCAAUUAUUUUAUAGAAGAAAGUAAUAAAAACGAAUUUUUAGUAAUAUAUGAUUUAAAAAAAAAAAAAAAAAAUGAAAAAAAUGACUGUUUAAGCUUUAUAAACGAAUUAAUUAUUUAUAAUAACAUUUUAAAAUAUAGUAUAAACGAAAAUAUUGANNNNNNNNNNUGUAAUGCUAUAGUUAACAUAAAAGGGAAGUUAUGCAGAUGUUGUUUUUUUUCACAUAUAGAAUAUAAAUUUAAAAGUACCUUAAGAGAAAAAUGUUUAUUUAAACAUAAGAUAAGCAGUAAUUUACGUGCUGUGCAAGACUCAGGGAGAAUAACAUAUGACGGAGGUGGAAGAGAUGAAGAAUAUAAUAAGGACAAUGUUAUUGAAAAGAGAGAAGAAGAGAUUGAAAAUAAAAGUGAUUAUAUUGAAAAGUUAAAAAACAGAGAAGAAAAGAAAAAAACGAAACGAAAAAAAACAGGUAUAGCAUUUUCUGGAGAAACAUGCUCCUGUUUUUUGCUACAUUCUUUUGUAAAAUAUUUAAAAAAUAGUAACAUGAAAAAUGAUGAUUUGUUUUUAUCAAAUGAGCAUGCUAUAUUCAGUGAUAUAAUUUUUGUUGAUAUUAAUGAGGAUAAGAAUUACAUUUUAAAUGUAAUAAAUUUGGUUUCGGACAUAUUUAGAUCUAUAAAAGAGGAAACUGAUGAUAUAUGUUUAAAAAUAGAUCAAGGCAAUACAAAUAAAGAACAAGUAAAAAAAAAAGAUGAAGACAUAAAACAAGUGGAUUAUAACUUUA